rnacentral:siRNA from 1 species
UAUGCCUGGCUCCCUGUAUGCCA